rnacentral:lncRNA from 1 species
CUCCUCUGUCCAUGGGAUUUCCCAGGCAAGAAUACGGGAGUGGGUUGCCAUUUCCUUCUCCAGGCCAUAUUCCCCAGCCAGGGACUGAACUCUUGUCUCUUGCAUCUCCUGCAUUGCAGGCCCAUUCUUUACUGUCUGAGCCACCGGAAAACCCGAAAUAAGGUAAAUCUGACAACAAUUUCAGGAAACAUUCUUCUCAGAAAGUCUAUUUGGAAACCUAAAAUUAGCACCAAUACUCCAGAAAAUAAGGUCCACUGCUUUUCUAAAGUGCCUUCCUACCUUGCCCAGUCUCUUGUGUAGACAGCAAUCGUUCUGGGACUCUGCUCCCUUAACCAGUAGCACCUGGGAACUCGCUAGAAAUGCAAAUUACUAGGCUGCACUCCAAACUUACUGAAUCAGAAACUCUGGGGGCGGCACGCAGAAAUCUUGUUUUUACGAUUCCCUUCAGGCGUUUCUGGUGAUCGCUUAAGUUUGAUAACCACAGAUACGGGGUAAAUGUAUUGAAAAUUUGCUGCACCGGUUAUGGGAAAAACGAACGCGCUCUUUUUUCAGCUCUAGCAGCUGCAGCUUCUCAGUAGAAUCAGGAGAGGGCGCCCACGGACCUGUCUUUGCCUCGCUCCUAGCAAAGCCUCGCGACCGGGUAAGCCCUGGAACAGUGACUUCUUUCUAAUGCAGAAGUGAAUGACAAAUAUACGAAAAAAAGACUUCAAAAGACUGUGGUAUCAAAGUGGCAGUUAAAGAGAAGGCAGCGCUCAGAGGCGCAGCUGCAGAGGGCAGCGGCGGCGGCUACAUCAGCAUCCGAAAAUUCCGGAAGCAUCUCGAGUUGAAGCUUCCCCCCGUGCCACCCCCUGCAGCAUUUCUUCGAACCCUUUUCUUUGAUACACGUCACUGCAUCACACCUCUGGGUUGGACACUUCCUGUGACUGCUGGCCAUUUGGAACGUCCUGAGGAAGGCAGGAUUCACCAGAUUUCUUCUGUACAUGGGGACAGCUCCUAUGGUGGAAAAUGGCAAUUUACAUGGGAUAAGACUUCUACCUGACCUUACCUGUGUGUCCUCUGCAAGCUUAUCCAGUAAUUGCAAAAAUCAAUGUGUCACACGUCACUUCCCUGGAAAGCAGCGCUGAGGAUCUAUCAGUCACCAGCAACUGCAACAGACGUCAUUCAUGUCACCUGCACCUUUCUCCUUUGUCCUCUCCAGCUCUCUCAGCCUAAAGGAGAGAAGCCUGGGUGAGUGUCCCCUCACUGGGCCCUGCUUAUCUGACAGCAAUCAAUGGAUAUUUAGCAAACAUUCAUAAUGAACACCUGACCCUGUGUUGGGUGUUAGCUCCCAUCUUGCAAGCCUUUGCUGUAGUUUAUUCCCUCUUCCUGGAAGGUUCUCCUCAGCAAUCUUCAUCUGACUAGUUUCAUCUUGUCAUGCAAAAUCUUAACUAAGGUUUUCAACAUCACCACCGCAAAAACAUCUUCUUUCUGGACAUGGGGACACAGCAGAAGGUGAGGAUGGGAUAGGCGGA